CAUGACUUUCAGGGUCGAGAGGUCAGCCAGGACAGCCUGUGACAAGAGAGGUGACAACAAGAGAAUGUGAUGUCAGCAGUAAUCAUGGUUUGGUACAAAAGCAGCAUCCAGGAAAGGUUGAGUCCUUCAUGAGCAAAGAUGAUCAGAGGAUCUCCAGUUUGUCAACAAAUGCGACUGAAAUGCAGGAAUGGAUGUUUAUUAAUAAACGAAAUGAAGUUGACCA